UUCUUCAUACCAUCAACAGUUUAAGUCUGAAAAUACCUUAGCUUUUAUGCCCAUAUAAUUAGCUUAUAAUUAAUACAUAUUGAAUAUAAUCAAACAUUCCAGAGUUUUAAAAAAUUUAAACCAUUAUCACACUCUUUUUCUCAUUUUACGUAUUAUUCAAGAACAUUAAGUUCUCUGACUGUGUCAUUGGAUAUAUUCAGUUUUCCUGCUUGGUAUCUUAAUUAUAGACUGUCUUCCAGUCUAAAGCAACUACCUCUAAUAUCAUAUCAGCCAUCCCCUCUCUCCACAAAGACCAGCCCUGCUCCUUUUACCUAGUCCAGUCACUCAGUAUUUUUUCUUUUUCAAAACCUAUGGGCUGUACUUUUCCAUGUGGGGUGAUGGGUAACAAGAGAGUUUCUCCUUCACUAUUAUGCAAACACAGACCGAUAUUGUUACUCUUUUUGCAUUUUCUUUGCCUAAUGAAUUUCCAUUUGUAUCUUUAGCUAUGGAAGAUCUAGAGGAAGAAUUUACAGAUCGUAAAUAUUAAAAUUCAAUCUAAAAGUCUCUUCAUCCAAGCAUGUGAGAAAAAUCUUGGUCAGAAUCUUGUUCAGAAUAGGAGGAAGAGGAUGUGUGGCAUGCCUUAUAGUCUUUCAAUGGGCAGAGUAGUGGUUUGACCACUUACAAAUUUACAAAUGUGGAUUGUACCAUACUGUAGCCCUUAUUCUCUGUUUUGUCCACAGGUACCAGGGGAAUCUAUACCUGAAGCAUUACUGGAGUCAAGAAAUUUGACUAUGGUGUUGCUGGGCAUGUGUUUCCUUGUGUAUAUUAUGAUUGGAAUUUUCCCACCUUCUUGCAUUUGUAAGUCUAUGUCCUUUGCAAGUGUGAGCAUUUUUUGGCCAUUAUUUCUCUAAGUCCUUUUUUAAUAUCAUCCUCAUUGUUCUGUUUUCUGAAAUUCAGAUUGCAUGAUUGUCGCAUCAUUUGUUGUGGCCUUUCAUAUUUGUGAAACUAUGUUAAAUUUUUUCAAUUGUUUUACCCUGUGUUGUUCAGAGUAUAGAAUUUCUAUUAUUGCAACCCCUAAACACUGACUGAGUCUUUCCUCAAUCAUUUGCUUUCUGAUAAUUUUCACAGCCAAUAUGGUUUUUUCUUAAUUUUAGACAUUAUAUAUGUCAGUUCUGAAAUUUCUAUUUUAUAAUAUUUUAUAGUUCCUUUUUCUGCUGAGAAGUUUUUUCCCAUUCUUUUCUGCUGAGAAGUUAUUUCCCUCUUUAUUUUGGAAAUGUUCACAUUUACCUCAGAAAAGAUGGCUAUAAGAGCUGCUUUAAAGUCUGAUCAUUUCCAUAUCCAAGUUGUUUCAAGGUUGUCAUCCCUUGGUUGCAUGCUUCAUGAAGAAUUGGUCAAUUGUUUACGGUUUGUAAAAGUAUAUUGAGUAGUUUUCUAUUGUAUUCCUCAGAUAGGCAUUUUCUCAGUUUACAAUACAUGAAAAGUUCAAUAAGGCAAGCUUUGGACAUUGAAGGGUGCAGGCACUCAGGCUGCAUUGUGAUCCACCUACUGGCUCCACUGGCAGAUGGGUUAGUCCCACUGACAUUAUUCUACUUGGAGCUUCUACGUGGAUGAUUCCCCUUGGCUCUUAUGAGAUAAAAGCAUAAGUAUUUCACAUAAUACACACUUAUAAAAUUAAAAACAAUAGAAAAGUGCACUGAAUGAGUCCCAAGAGCCCUAUCCACAACAUCUUCCUAACUUUUCAUCUUUUGUAACCCAUUUGCUCAAAGCUCAAUUGAACUCAAGCACUUCUUUUUUCUUUUGCCCUACAGGAACCGCAGAGUUUAACAUUUGUUUCUUAGAUGCUAUCCCCGUAGCCAGGCAGCCCUGCUGUCUUCUGACUGGGGAUUUACAGAAUGCAGGAAAAUGAGGCAGAGGUAGAAAGAGUGACUAUACACCUAGCAUGCUGGCUCAUGACUGUAAUCCCACUACUUUUGGAGGCUGAGGUUGGAGGACUAUUGAUGCCAGGAAUUCAAGAUCAGCCUGAGCAAUGCAGUGAGACGUCCCCAUGUAUAUAAGAAAAUGUACAAAAUCAACCUUGCAUGGUGAUUGGCACCUGUAGUCCCAUCUAAUUCAGAAGGUGAUCUGGAAGAAUUGUUUGAUCCCAGGAGUUCAAGACUGCAGUGAGCCAUGAUUGCACCACUGUACUCCAGCUUAAGAGACAGAGCAAGUCCCUGUCUCUAAAAAGAAAUAAUACUAAUAAUAACAUUAAUAAUAAUAAAUGACUGCUGCAACUGAAAAGGUUUUUUUCCCCCACCUUGGCUUCUAGCCCCAGGGUCUACUUCCUUUCAAAUGCAUCUCCAAUGUCUAUGGAUUCUACAGACUUGCAGUCUCUUCCUUUCUUUCCCCUCAUGUGCCACUGUGGCUCUAUCCUGUAUCCUCAGCAAGCCUUCCCACACUCCGACAAAAUCAAGUACAAUGGUGAACUGAGCAAGUAUGGGCAAUAGAGCUAUAAAUAUUUAUGUUUCUACCCUCCUUGAUAUUUUUACAAUAUUUGGAGAUGGGUAUGUAGGGCCUUUAGUCCUUCUUGGGCCAGGGUCAUCUCAGCCUUAAAGGAACUGAAAUCAGAGUAGAGGAAAAGAAGUGAUAAGACAGAUGUGAACAAAGCAUCUUCAUGCAAGUAAGCAAGAUACAUUUACUGGCUAAUUCAAGCAUUGUAACCGCAGCCUAAGACUCAAAUGAAUAAACACUGAAUUUGAAGUCCCCCCAAAGGUGUGCAACAGCUUUGGGGGAUUUUUAACACUUUACCUCCUGUUAUCUGUGGAAUGGAGCAAAAACUAAGUGUUACAUGGGAAGUUGGUUUCAAUUAUACCACCUGGUACUCAGUUUACAACCAUUUCCUAAUCCUACUUCUUAAUGAGCUAUAUAAAAGGAAAAGAUUUAUUGACCACUUGUCAUACAUUUUGGUCAAUGUGCCAGCUAUUGAUAUGUGUUUUUUACAUUAUUAACUGAAGAAAAAUGAAUGCCUUUUACAAAUGUUAUAAGAUUACAAAACAAAAAGAAAUCCAAAGGAAACAAAUUAGGGUUGUAAUGUGCAAGCCUAAUGAUUUUCCAUCAGAACUCUCAUAUAAUUGCCCUGUUUGAUAAGAUAAAUGAGCAGGAGCAAGGUUGUGGUGAAGGACUCUGCUGAAGCUUUCCCAGGGAUUCCUAUACUAAAGCUUUGGCUUUCUCAAAGUAUUCUCAGAAUAAGCAGUUAUUGUCAUUCUCCAGAAAGUCAACCAGCAAAAUGACUUGAGCUUUCCAAUAAACUCUUGCCAUGACCUUUGUGCUCUCCUCAUCCACUUUUGUUUUGACUGGACUUUUCCACUUCUUGGUAGCCAUUGCAUUGAUUGUAUUUGUUUUCAGGAUUUUACUGGUAAAGCCAUGCGUUAUCUCCUCUUAUAAUUCCUUGAAGAAAUGCUUACAGUCUUCAUUGCUCCUAUUUAAAUUUUUUAGGGAAACUUCUGCUCUUGUCUGUACUUCAUCUUGGUGACACAGUUUGGGCAUCCAUCAAGUGAAAAGUUUACUAAACUUUAAUCAUUCAGUUAGAAUCAUGUAAACUGAACCAACUGAGAAGUCUGCAAUGUUGGCUAUUGUGUGAACUGCUAAUCAUCACACAUCUUCUCCUGGGUAUAAAGAAGAUGAAUUUAUUCCUUGCAAUAUGAUGUGAAUCAUCUGUCACUGUAGACUUUAGGUUCAACAUUGCCUCAUUCCUUCCUGAAAUGAGGAACUCCUCAUUGAAUUUGUGAACUGCUGACUUCUUCAACCAAUGUCAACUUACCAUGUGCCAAGUAGGACAACUUUUUGGACACCAUCAAUGAUUUCAUCUUCUUCCACCCAAGCUUCACCAUAAAUUUGAUGUUUUUACUCACUUUACUUUUAGAAGAAUUCAUGUUGCUCUUCUAGGAGCUCUUUUGAAACUGCUCUCUUAUUUUUCUUGAUGCCUCAAACUAGCUCGUGUUCAGACAUGUUAUAGCAAAACAUUAUGAUUUCAUUUUGGUGCCAAAAAACUUGGAAUCCAUUCAUGGUAUUUCUUAAUAGAAUAUACAUUUUCCAUUAACAUUUUAACAACCCACUGCAUAUAGGAAGGCGUCCUGAUACAACAAGCUCUACUACAGGUAACUUAGACUUUUCCAGCUGACUAGGCAGAUUGGUUUCUUGUUUUUCUCCUAGCAUAAAUAGGAAUGUUUUCUGAAGGUGGAAUAUAAUACCAAUGGCCAAAUUUUCUCCAGCUACAUGGAAAGUUUAACAUUUGUAAGUAAGAGUCACAUGCUUUAAUAGAGACACAGAGUGCUUGGGCCAACCUGGUGUCCUGAUCUUAUUGAAUGAUUUUCUCUGGUUUCACCAAACAUUAUUUGGAAAGAUAAGCUGGCGAUGAGCAGUCUGGCCUAGGUAGCUUACGAUGGCCCAUCAGGUAGGGAAGAAACACAAGAGAGAAGAAGCAGAGAGGAGUGCCAGGCAGAUGUGCCUCCUUGUGGGAGUCAAUAGUCCUGGUUGGAGGCAGGCUUCUUUUUGUCUACUGAGUACAGCAAGCCAAGAGGUGAUGCUUCCAAAUAUCACUCUGCUCACACCCUAUUCAUGACCUUCUCCUAUGUCAGAAAUGCAUGAAAGAGAUUAGCAUAUCAGGAAGGAGUAAAUAUCAGGUAUCAAGCUACCAGAGACAACCAAAACAGAGGUUACCAAAGAACUGAAGGAGACAGUGUCACUUAGGAUGAGGUCAAAGCAAGGAGCAGGACUGCAACAGGAGCUUAGGCACUUGUCCAUGAGUCAAGGACCUCAGUAAUCCACUUGCCAUUUAAAACAAAUGUAAAUUUACCAUGUGCCAAGCAGGACUCUUGAUUUCUACUCCUAAAACCUGCUCUCCCCUGAAUUUCUUCAUCAUAGCCGUCAAAACAAAAUAUCACAGACUAGGUAUUCUUAAGCAAUAGAAAUUACUUUCCAACACUUCUGGAUGCUCAAGUUCCAUGAGGAAGGUGUCAGCAGGUUUAGUUCUUCUGGGCUGUGUCUGCUUGGCAUCUAGGUAUCUGCCUUCUUGCUGUGUCCUUCCAUGGAUGUGUAUGUACUUCCUGUGUCUCUCUCUACAAAUUUCCAGUUCUUAUAAGGAAUUUCCACUUCUUAUAAGGACAGCAAUCUUAUUGGAUUUAGUUCCACUGAAACUCCAUCAUUUCAGCUUGAUAACCUCUUCCUAGGGCUGUUUUCUAAACACAAUCAUAUUCUAAGGGACAAGAAGUUGGUUGUGGAUUUUUGUAUACCUAUGCCUAUCAUAUUUUGCUAAAUAUUUGAUUAUAUAGAGAUUAUUUCUUUGGAACUUUGAGCUGUGUGAAGACAACACAAACCUGGCCAUUCAUGGCUGACAGAAGGUUGGCCCUCAGCCUGGUCAGACCCACACAGAUUGUCUAAUAUUCUUUGAUCUGGCUCUAGUCAGAAAAGUCUUGGUGUUGUAGAAUACAGGUGUCUUCACGCAUUGUAUUAUUAAUAUUCAUGGGGAGGUUAAAACAAAGUUGGCCCCGAAAACUACCAAGGGGUUCUAGAAUGAACAGAAUGAAUACACAGUUCUUAAAGGGGACAUCCUAUUUUGUCUUUAAAUUUUUUUCCUUGCUCUACCCCUUUGUUAGAAUGUUUGAUCAGAUUCAGUUUGGGAUUUACAUCUUUUAGGAAAUUUUGUUUUUUAAUAUAGAUUCUCGCUCUGUCACCCAGGCUGGAGUGUGGUGUCAUGAUCCUGGCUUACAGCAUCCUUGAACUCCUGUGCUCAGGGGAUUCCCCCCGCUUCUGCCUCUUGAGUGGCUUGAAUUACAGGUUCAUGACACCAUGUCCGUUUAUUUUUUGUUUGUUUGUUUUAAACUUUUCUUGAAGAGAUGGAGCCUCACUUUGCUCAGGCUGGCCUUUUUUUUUUUUUUUUUUUUUUUUUGGAGACGGAGUCUCACUCUGUCCCAGGCUGGAGUGCAGUGGCGCAAUCUCUGCUCACUGUAAGCUCCGCCUCCUGGGUUCACGCCAUUCUCCUGCCUCAGCCUCCUUAGUAGCUGAGACUACAGGCGCCCACCACCACGCCCGGCUAAUUUGGUUUUGUAUUUCUAAUAGAAACGGGGUUUCACUGUGUUAGCCAGGAUGGUCUCGAUCUCCUGAUCUCAUGAUCUGCCCGCCUCGGCCUCCCAAAGUGCUGGGAUUACAGGCAUGAGCCACCGUGUCCGGCCUGGUCUUGAACUUCUGGCCUCAAGGGAUCCUCACACCUCACUCUUCCAAAGUCCUGCGAUUAUAGGCAUCAGUUGCCACAUUCAGCCUUUCUUCUAGGAAAAAUUUUUAAUCACUCCCAAUUAAAAUGCGUGGUCACAAUUAUAUGCUUAAAUAAGAUGGUCUGGCACCCACAUAAAAGCCUCAAGAGUAUUGCAUUGAUCUAUUUCUUAGAGCCUGUGAUAUCUGUCUCCCAGACUGUUCUUUCACACAGAAAUUUUUUUCAUUUUUGCAAUAUUCUGAAACUAAUUUCUUCCCAGUCUCUUUCUAAAAUGUAUUUAUUGAAAUUUUGUGUUCUAAAUCAAUCUUGCCUGUGUUUACUUUUCAUCUUAUAUCUGACUUCUUUUUAAAUGAAAUUUGGGAAAAUUUUUAAAUCUAAUCUUCUAAGUAACCAUCUAUAUUUCUUGUUACUCCUUUAUUUUUCUUUUUGUUUUUAAAAUUUGCAUCAAUAUACUGUGUUUCCAAGGUCUUUUUACUGAGGUUCUGUUGGUAGCUCUCUUUUCAUCUGCUGACUUUUCUGUUAUAUCAAGUAGUUCCUGCCCAUCCUUUCAUCCUUUUCAUGGAAAGCGUAGGUGAGUCAGUAUCAACAGCUGCCACUUAUCAUUUCAGGCUUUGAAUAAGUCUCGUGCUGUCAUUCAGUUUUUGUUCAGGGAUAGUGAUAACUUCGGGAUGGCCAUGUUAGAAGUAAUGAGUAGGGGGAUGUGACUGGAAAUCCUAAAGACAAACUGCUUGAUCAGUUGGAUGAGGGGAUCCUGUGUUGUACACAUAAGAAUCUGUUCCUGCCCUUCCAGAAUGGUUUGAGAAUAAAAGGGGAUUUCAAAAAGUUUGUGGAAGAAUAUAAUUACAAUAUGAAAGUAGACAUUAUGUAAACUUUAUUUCUUAACGUAAGCUCCAUCACAUUCAAGAAGUUUAGCAAGUAAUGAUACAAGUAAUUUAGCCUAUCUAUAAAAAUUGACGAUCCUGAAAUUAGUUUCAGAAUGCAGUCUUUUCACAUCAUUAACUGAAGAAAACAGAGUACACUUUAAAAAUAUUUCAAUAUUAGAAAAAAAAUCUGAAGUCCAAAGAUACUGCAUCAGAACUGUAAGUUGGGUGCCUAGGGAUUUUCUUUUUUUUUUUUUUCUUUUUUGUUUUAUUUACAUAGCUUGGGGAACAGGUGGUGUUUGGUUAUGUGAAUCAGUUCUGCAGUGGUGAUUUGUGAGAUUUUGGUGCACCCAUCAUCCGGGCAGUAUACACUGCACCCAGUGUAUAAGAGAGAGGUAAAAGUGACGUCUUUUACCCCUCUCCCCUUUCCCACUCUUUCCCCCUGAGUUCCCAAAGUCCAUUGUGUCAUUCUUAUGCCUUCGCAUUCUCAUAGUUUAGCUCCGAUUCAUGAGUGAGAACAUGCGAUGUUGGCUUUUCCAUUCCUAAGUUGCUUGACUUAGAAUGAUAACAUCAACUUAUGAGAGAGUAUGGAGUAAGUUAGCCAAAACUUUAGCAGGGAAAUGCCCGGAAAAGCUUUAGCAGAGAGUUCUUAUCCAUCACAACAAUGCUCCUGCUCAUUUCUCUCAUGAAACAAGGGCAAUUUUGCCAGACUUAUGAGGGACAUUCACUAGGCAUCCAAUCUCAUCCAUUUAUCUGCUAAAGAUUUGGCUAACUUUCUCCAAACUCCAAACUUAUAAGCUGAUGUCGUCAUCUUUGACCCUCCAGAAAGUUAACAAACAAAAUACCUCGAACAUCCAAAAAUACCGUUGACAUGAUGUUUGCUCUUGUCGCAUUUAUUUAGACUAGACCACUUCCACCUCUUGGUAGCCAUUGCUUUGAUUGUGUUUUUCCUUUAGGAUGGCACUGGUAAAGCCAUGUUUGAUUUCCUGUUACAACUCUCCAAAGAAAUGCUUUAGGAUCUUUUCUUUUCUUUUCUUCUACUUCCUACUUCUUUAAUUUUUCAUUGAACCUUCUGUUCUUCUCUGUAGCUGACUCAGGUACAGCAGUUUUGGCCAUCAUCAAGUCGAUAGUUUGCUCAACUUUAAUUUUUCAGCCAGAAAAAAAUUUAUGUAAUCUGAACCAAUUGACAGUCUUCUUGUGCUAGCCCUUUUUUCUGCUGUUAACUGUGAGGUCUCUUCAAUUGGAAUAAAAGAAGAUAAAAUUUUUGCCCAUAAGUUGCUGUGUAUGGUCUGCUGCUGCAGAGUUCAUCUUCACCAUCAUCUAGUCAAUUCUUAAAAGGAGUUAUCCAUUUGUGAAGGGCUGAUUUACUUGGGCACAAAUAUUUCAUGAUGCAUCAGUGAUUUCACCAUCCCUCCGCCCAAGCUGCAUCAUAAACUUGAUAUUUGUUCUUGAUACAAUUUUAGUAGAAUAUUUGUUGAUCUGAUAGAAGUUGUUUUCAAACUGCUGUCUCAACCAUGUUAGUGACUGAACUAUAUCCUUUUCAGACAUGUUGUAACAAGUUAGUAAAAAUGUAUUUUGGUAUGAAAAAUGUUUGUAUCCCUGCAUAAUUUUAAAAAAUAAUAUAUAUUUUCCACAAACAGUUUGAAGAUGCCUUAUAUUACUGGAAGUUGUCCUCAUACAAUGAAGUUUGUUGCUGAUUACUCUGCCAUUGGCUGGUGAUCAGGCAGAUUGUUGUUUUCCUCCCUCACCCCUUCUGGAAUAUUAGGGAUGUUUGCUAAGAGGAAAUAUAUUACCAGUUAGCAAUUCUUCUUUGGCUAUGCAAUAAUAAAACAAUUGUAGCUUG